rnacentral:rRNA from 1 species
CCCUUAGAUGUCCUGGGCUGCACGCGCGCUACACUGAUGUGUCCAGUAAGCACCUAACCUCUUCCGAAAGGAACGGGUAACCUUUGCAAAGCACAUCGUGAUGGGGAUAGAUUAUUGCAAUUAUUAGUCUUGAACGAGGAAUUCCUAGUAAGCACAAGUCAUCAGCUUGCGUUGAUUACGUCCCUGCCCUUUGUACACACCGCCCGUCGCUACUACCGAUUGAACGGUUUAGUGAGGGCCUCGGAUUGGUCUCGGCCCGCUCUUUACCGGGCGGCGCCGUUGGUCGAGAAGACGCUCGAACUUGAUCGUUUAGAGGAAGUAAAAGUCGUAACA